UGUCGUGUAGCUCAGUUGGUAGAGUGCUUGCCUAUGAUGCAUGAAGUCCUGGCUUCAGUCCCAAGCACCACAU
rnacentral:tRNA from 1 species